CACAAUAUCGAGACCAACAACUCAAUUUUGAUCCCUACUAUGCAAUUAAUUCAUUCAAUUAUGCAUUCUAGAAAUUACGAUUCAAUAUUAUCGAAUCACACGGUAUCUUCAACAAAUUCCAAAAACUAUGCAAUUACACGUUUUAUUCAACAAGAUUCGAAACAUUCGGUAUAUUAAACAAAAUCCAUCAAUUUAUUGUGCAAAUAAGAUAAAAUUCCCCGGCAUAUUCAACAAGUAUUAACAAUAACAAAAGAAAACCCAUACAUACAAAGUGUACAAAAAAAUCGUAGACAAUUUGAUAUCUAUGCAUCAACAUCCAACAUCUAUGCCACAACAACAUUCAUCUAUGCAUUCUAAAAAAAAUAACAAAAAAAAUCGUAAGGCAAAUUGACAUCUAUGCAUCAACAUCUAACAUUUAUGCAACAACAACCAUCAUCUAUACUAUCUAAAAAUAAUUAACAAAAAAAAUCGUAAGCAAUUUUAAUUCUAUGCAACAACAACGCACAUCUAUGCAACAACAACCAUCAUCUAUUCAAUUUUAAAAAAAUUAACAAAAAUUCAACAACUUUGCAACAACAUCCAACAUCAAUGCAAUUGAAAUUCGAAAUGGUUAAGCAAUAGUCUGUUUUGAAUCGCCUGAAGAAAAGUCGAGUUCGCCGCCGCCUUGAAAUCGCUCCGCCUACGCCUCCGCCUACUUAGAAUCGCCGG
rnacentral:lncRNA from 1 species